GGAGAAAGGGACUUCUACAUUUCCAUGUUUCAACUCAAUAGCACGUUGCACAUAUUGAAAGUGAAGACUGGUCAGCUUUGUGAUUGACUCCAGAAAGAGUCAACUUGAAGGUACAAACUCCAAACACUGUAGGAGCAGAAUCAUUUCACCUGAAGAGCUUACGUGGAAGUGCAGGGCACACCCAGGCAAG